rnacentral:tRNA from 1 species
GCUGAUGUAGCUCAGCGGUAGAGCAGCUCACUCGUAAUGAGCAGGUCGUCGGUUCGAAUCCGACCAUCAGCUCCA